AUGGACGCACGGAUGAGGCUGAUAAUCCAGGCAGCAACACUGAUUAGUGUGAUUCAGGCAUGGGUAAUGUUCAUGCACCAGAGAGCUGUUCGUCGUGCUGGGAGACCGUUGAUCCGCUAUGGUCCAUUGUUUCCCCGGGAACAAGAGAGGAUCCAAAAUCUGAACUACAUCUACAACUGCAAUGACGUCGAGGCUCUGUGGAUGCUUAGAAUGAAAAGAGCGCCAUUUGCCAGGAUUGUCGAGACCUUCAAGAGCAGGGGCCUGUUACAAGAUAGCAUCAACACCAGUGUCGAAGAGCAAGUGGCCAUGUUCCUCCAUGUUGUUGGCCAUAACCAGAGGUUCAGGGUCAUUCACAACACGUUCAGGAGGUCAAUGGAGACCAUCUCUAGGUACUUCAAGCAGGUGAAGGAAAUAUGCCCUAGAGGCAAUAAUAAAGUUAUUAUUUAUUUCCUUAUAUCAUGA
rnacentral:rRNA from 1 species